rnacentral:rRNA from 1 species
AGAGUUUGAUCCUGGCUCAAGAUGAACGCUAGCGACAGGCUUAACACAUGCAAGUCGAGGGGCAGCGGGGGAGCAGCAAUGCUCCCGCCGGCGACCGGCGCACGGGUGAGUAACACGUAUGGAACCUGCCCGCAGCAGGGGGAUAAGCGAAAGAAAUUCCGUCUAAUACCGCGUAACACCGCGGAGGGGCAUCCCUCGGCGGUUAAAGAUUCAUCGGCUGCGGAUGGCCAUGCGGCGCAUUAGCUAGUCGGCGGGGUAACGGCCCCACCGAGGCGACGAUGCGUAGGGGUUCUGAGAGGAAGGUCCCCCACACUGGUACUGAGACACGGACCAGACUCCUACGGGAGGCAGCAGUGAGGAAUAUUGGUCAAUGGCCGGGAGGCUGAACCAGCCAAGUCGCGUGAGGGAAGACGGCCCUACGGGUUGUAAACCUCUUUUGUCAGGGAGCAAGAGGCGGGUCGGGACCUGCUGUGAGAGUACCUGAAGAAAAAGCAUCGGCUAACUCCGUGCCAGCAGCCGCGGUAAUACGGAGGAUGCGAGCGUUAUCCGGAUUUAUUGGGUUUAAAGGGUGCGCAGGCGGAGGCACAAGUCAGCGGUAAAAUCGCGGGGCUCAACCCCGCUCCGCCGUUGAAACUGUGUCCCUUGAGUGCGCGAAGGGUAGGCGGAAUGCGUGGUGUAGCGGUGAAAUGCAUAGAUAUCACGCAGAACUCCGAUCGCGAAGGCAGCCUACCGGCGCGCGACUGACGCUCAUGCACGAAAGCGUGGGUAUCGAACAGGAUUAGAUACCCUGGUAGUCCACGCAGUAAACGAUGAAUGCUAUCUGUCCGGCCGGAAUGACGGCUGGGUGGCACAGCGAAAGCGUUAAGCAUUCCACCCCGGGGAGUACGCCGGCAACGGUGAAACUCAAAGGAAUUGACGGGGGCCCGCACAAGCGGAGGAACAUGUGGUUUAAUUAGAUGAUACGCGAGGAACCUUACCCGGGCUCAAACGCAGGAGGGAUGUUUUUGAAAGGAGGCAGCCAGCAAUGGUCUCCUGCGAGGUGCUGCAUGGUUGUCGUCAGCUCGUGCCGUGAGGUGUCGGCUUAAGUGCCAUAACGAGCGCAACCCCUACCUACAGUUGCCAUCGCGUGAUGGCGGGCACUCUGUGGGGACUGCCUGCGCAAGCAGUGAGGAAGGCGGGGAUGAUGUCAAAUCAGCACGGCCCUUACGUCCGGGGCGACACACGUGUUACAAUGGCAGGUACAGCGGGAAGCCACCCGGCGACGGGGCGCGGAACCCGAAAACCUGUCUCAGUUCGGAUUGGAGUUUGCAACCCGACUCCAUGAAGCUGGAUUCGCUAGUAAUCGCGCAUCAGCCACGGCGCGGUGAAUACGUUCCCGGGCCUUGCACACACCGCCCGUCA